rnacentral:rRNA from 1 species
AUGGAUAUAGUAGGACCUAUUAAUCCGCCAUCAUCAAAGGGGCACAAAUUUAUCCUGGCUGCCACCGAUUACUUCUCUAAAUGGGCCGAGCUUAUACCAUUAAAAGAGGAUAAGGGAGAGCACGUGGAGCACUUCAUAAGAACACACCUCAUAUAUCGCUUCGGAGUUCCUUCCCGUAUCAUGUCUGACAACAGGGGACCAUUCAAAAAUAAACAUGUCGAUAAGUUAUGCUCGAAAUUCAAAAUAAUUCAUCACUAUUCUACGGCUUAUAAUCCGGCAGCUAAUGGACAGGCGGAAGCUUUUAAUAAAACUCUCUGCAAAUUGUUAAAGAAAGUCGUGUCUAGAAAUAAGCAUGAGUGGCAUGAGAAACUUCUUGAGGCCUUGUGGGCUUAUAGAACCACAACACGUACACCAACUGGAAUGACACCAUACUCCCUCGUAUUUGGAGGAGAGGCAGUUCUGCCAUUAGAGGUACAAAUUACCUCGCUUAGAGUUGCUAUUCAGGAGAAACUUUCUGAAGAAGAGGCCAUAAAAUUACGCCUCGAGGAACUCGAAAUGCUCGAAGGAAAACGCCUUCAGGCA